rnacentral:tRNA from 6 species
GGAGAGCUGUCCGAGAGGCCGAAGGAGCACGAUUGGAAAUCGUGUAAGCCGCUACCGCGGCUUCGAGGGUUCGAAUCCCUCGCUCUCCGCCA